AAGAGAGGUGCCUAGAAAAGCACAGGCUGAGGAAAGAAGGAGUAGGAAGAUUACUUCAGUCAACGAAAAGGAAUGAAGUCGGGGGAAAGAAAGGUGUAUCUAAGAAAGGAUUCCAAAUGAUUUGGAAUCUGGAACCCCAGAUGUUAAACAACUAACUUGCCUAUGGAAAUCAGUUUUGACUUGAACUCGGUAUCCAAGAAGUGGAUCCAAGAAAACGUAUUCUCCUCAAGGACAAGGGAACCAAUCCACGAACUAAAUGGGGGCGGGGCGUGUUAGGUCUUGAAGCUCUGUAACCGUGAGAUGUCUCCGUGUGAAUUCGAGAGGCUUUGGCUCCUGCCCUGGGAAUCCUCACACUCUGGAAAAGCGGAUUUUUCAUUGUAAAUGUCUGGCUGGUGAAUGACAUGCUGAUGUGGCACCAGCCUUGUUCUUGUUCAUUGGGAAAAGGAACAACGGAGAAUAGAAAAUUGACCAGUGGGAUUCUGAUUCAGGCUGGAAGAUGACAGGAAUGCAUCUGCUUCUCCCUCCAGGCUCCAUGCACCGUGAGGCCAGCUCCAGCUCCUCUCCGAAAACUGUAAUAUGGAUUCCUGUCAAGUGUUAAAAAGUUUCUUUUCUUUGUUGUUUCUUUUUUUCUUUUUCUUUUUCUUUUGUUUCUUGUUUUUCACUUUUGGAGUCAAGUAAAUAUUUUUCAUUGCUUGAUGGAGAAAGGGAGAAAUGGUGCCCCCAAGUUAGAUGAAUAAAAU
rnacentral:lncRNA from 1 species